rnacentral:tRNA from 1 species
GGGCCCGUAGCAUAUCCCGGUGUUUCGCCCGGCUGAUAACCGGGAGGUCAUGUGUUCGAAUCACAUCGGGCCCA